GUCAUUUUUAAGGUCACAAUUUAAACUUUGUCAAACUUACAAGCGUAAACAUCAAGGCCUCGCGGCCUUGUGCUAAUGUGCCAGCCCCCCCCUAGCGGGAGGAACCAACUCGAGAUUUGUAAUGAUCCUUCCGCAGGUUCACCUACGGAAA
rnacentral:misc_RNA from 1 species